rnacentral:misc_RNA from 1 species
UCUGCCAUUGCGGGGGCCGCCGAUCGAGGCGACACGGCAAGUGCCAGGCUUGCUAAGGCGUCACUGAGCUCGAACUUCUCCGCCCCAUAACCAUCUCCGUGGUUGCUUCUCAGUUCGAAUAGGCGCGGAAACCACCCCAUCACGAACAUGCGUCUCACUGCGGGCAAGAUUUACUUUUGGGGCUCGGUGGCCAUCAUCUUCCUCACUGCAUGGAAUCGCCGCUCCACCACCCAGCUGCGCACCGUCGUGGAUAACUUAAAGGAAGAGCGGAUGCGUGAGGCGGAGCGGCUGCGCCAGCAUCAACUCGGCGGCCAAGGCGGGGCCAGCGGCGCCCCCAUGAUGACGUCAGUGUCGUCGAUGCCGAAGCAUUUUAAUCCGUAUCACAAGCAGCAGGAGAUCGAGAGUGCCUCCGCAGAUAAAUAGGUCGCAAAGAUCAACAGAUAAGGCUGAAGGUAGUGUUGUCGCCUAAGUGGAGGGCUCCGCGGUCUGUGCCUGAGGUGGGUGGUGGUGACCUUACGCGUGUGCGUGGCAGCAAAGCCGGCUCAUUCAGUUCUUUCUAUUUUUUUUUUUGUGGGCUCCUGUUGAUGAGUGUUUGCCUUUUCACGACCGCGUGUGCUCCUCGUGACAAGGGACACCUCCCAGUGUGUGGUAUCUCAGGUUUCACUAGCCACACUCCGUGUGGUGAAGCCAGGCAGCCUCCCUAUCCCCUUCCGAUGCACAGCCACCUCUGGUGGUGACAGGGCUGAGUGCCUACGGCGUGGGGGAAGGCCAGAGCGAUGCAUCGCGACUGAUGUGGACGGCCAGGCUCUGCACGGCGCCGCGUCAGAGCGCUCUGCGACGGUGCGCACGCUUGCACUAACCCAUAUGAUUAGGCAGAGUGUCAUCGCGGCUCCAACGCAUCCCACGCCCGGCCCUAACUGCCCACUGGUGUGGGGAGCCCGAGUACCAUCCCUGAUGGUGGACACACACCGUGCGGCGACCGGCAUGAUGGGGGAGCGGCCUGCGAGGCGGCCGUGGUGGGUAGAGUUUGAGGCAGAGGCCAUGCUCAGAUGGCUGAGUCGGCGCAUUGCUGUAGCACGUGCGUCUCACGCUGCUUCGCACCAGGCGAUGCGGUGCCUGUGACGGGCCAGGGGUAGACUGGAGAGUGACUCAUGCUUUAUGGCAGAGAAGGGGAGCGCGUCGGAAGCGGAAAGGUGGCGUACAGCUUGCGUGCGUGUGAGUGUUCUUGGCGCAUUGGCACUCCAUAGACGAGGUCGAUACGGCAAAGACGAUGAUGCUCACUUUCUCGUCUGUGUCUUUUGUUGAUUGCUAGUAUGGUUAUCUGCGACAGCCACUGUACGUUGGCGCGCUGCAGUGCGCAGGUUUUCAGCAGAGUACGAGUGGCUCGUGCACGAGAACAAGC